GCACGGUUGGCGCAGUGGUAUAACGCGUGCACUUCAGAGGUGCGAGACCCGGGUUCGAAUCCCGGACUGUGCA